GUUCUGAAAGAUUUCUUCGGAAUGAAUUUGAUUUAGUUUAGUGGCGGACGGGUGAGUAACGCGUGAGUAACCUGCCUUCAAGAGGGGGAUAACAUUCUGAAAAGAAUGCUAAUACCGCAUGAUAUAUCGGAACCACAUGGUUCUGAUAUCAAAGAUUUUAUCGCUUGAAGAUGGACUCGCGUCCGAUUAGUUAGUUGGUGAGGUAACGGCUCACCAAGACCGCGAUCGGUAGCCGGACUGAGAGGUUGAACGGCCACAUUGGGACUGAGACACGGCCCAGACUCCUACGGGAGGCAGCAGUGGGGGAUAUUGCGCAAUGGGGGCAACCCUGACGCAGCAACGCCGCGUGAAGGAUGAAGGUUUUCGGAUUGUAAACUUCUUUUAUUAAGGACGAAAAAUGACGGUACUUAAUGAAUAAGCUCCGGCUAACUACGUGCCAGCAGCCGCGGUAAUACGUAGGGAGCAAGCGUUGUCCGGAUUUACUGGGUGUAAAGGGUGCGUAGGUGGCUUUGCAAGUCAGAUGUGAAAUCUAUGGGCUCAACCCAUAAACUGCAUUUGAAACUGUAGAGCUUGAGUGAAGUAGAGGCAGGCGGAAUUCCCCGUGUAGCGGUGAAAUGCGUAGAGAUGGGGAGGAACACCAGUGGCGAAGGCGGCCUGCUGGC
rnacentral:rRNA from 1 species